UGGUCACGCGCCUUGCCGUGUUUACAGUACGUGUCUUGUUUCGGUGAAGGGAGUAUAAAAGUUUUUUCUCUGCAUUUAUGAAAAAAAAAAACGCCGAAAAUUCCCAGCAUGAAAAUCUGAAAUGAGCUACUAGCCACCAAGCAGUAAGAAAAUAACAAGCAGGAAACACUACUAUAGCCCUUAUGCGCAUGCGCGCAUUAUCGCUGCCUGUUGUGCAUGCGCCGACCGCCGAUCGAUGGCAGUUUAGAGUUCUAAACUUUGGAACUGGUAUCUAUUCCGGCGCGCGGAUAAUGUGCCUGCUAAUUUUCGUAGUUUCACCUGUUCUACAGCUAGAUGACUGUCGCACUAGACCAGUACCGUUUGCGGCGGAUAGUCGUGUAAUACCGGCUUUACAGUAUAGCUUGCUACCAGAGUUUAUGCGGACUUUGCAAAUGUAAGCAUUGAUGGUGUUUUUCUUCAACACUGCUUUUAACAUCGUCUGGACUCUAUCUACGUAUGCAGAGAAAGGGGAUGGUGAUCAGUCGCCGUACUGAGGUACGAAAAAGGGGACAGAACUGGAUAUGGUACUGAGAGAGAACCUGAUGUUGAGACAAAGCCGGAUGCUGUACCCCAGCGAUGUGAUCCAGGUGUAAGUGUUUGUGAUCGGUACCCAUUUACUUUCAGUGAAAGUAGUUGGAAACUCCCAAUUUGUUCUAAGAACAAUGUUAAAUUUAGAGAUGACCCCCACAUCGCCGUGUAAGGUGUAGGAAAGGACACCAUUCGUAGUGUGAGAGUUAUAUUUCAGUGAACUUUUGGAUGCUACUUAAGCGACAAAAUAAAUUAUUGUUUUUGGUUAAAAAUUAUGUGUAAAAUGUAAAAGUUUGAUUAGAAAAGAGGUUGUUGUUUCAAGAACUUAUGUAAAUUUUCCCUUUUAUGAAUGUUUUGAAAAUUUAAAUUGAGAUAAAAUGAUUCAGUUUGGAGUGUGGGAGAAAAGAGUUGAAAAUUUUCUGUAUAAGAAUUUACUGUAUGCCAUCAAGCCCUAGCCAUUGUUUAGUUGAUGUAACUGUCUAUAACGUUGUAACAUAAUCUUAGAUAUUUUGUUUAUUUGCGGCACUUCAGUUCAACAUAGAUUUUAGUAAGAACAUUUUAGAUUUGACAGUGUCGGUGUAGCUAUCGAAAUCAUUCUUAAACAACAUUUAUGGCAAUAAGAACCGUAAAAUAUACUCAAGAGAAAUUUUGGGUUCUUUGGGGGUGUGUAACAUCACAAGUCGGUACACAGUAGUAUUUUAUUGCAGUAAGCUACUUUGCAGUCCAGUUCAUAGCUUUGGAGCCUUUGGUGGUGACAGAAACAGCCACUUGUAUCUUAGCGUGACUCAUUCUCACCUGUCACUAGCCUAGCUGUGGGAAGCCGUACCUGUGUACAUUCGAGUGACUGAAUAUUCAAGCCCCUAAGAAUCUAAAUAAACUAUAUUACAUAUUAUUUAAGUUGGUUAAAAUUCAAUAUACUGCCUUCUGUUAUCAAAAAGAAGAUUGUGUAAAAAUCUCAGCUUUCUAGCUGGCAUACUUCCACAGUUUGAGAAAAUUACCUAAAACACCCCGUACUGACAAUUGUAAGAUUAAAGUCAGUUAGGAUUCAUAAGUUUCUUUUAGUAUCAUUUGGAAUCAUUACUGAAGUCCACGAAAUGUCUGGUCAAUUAGUUUGAAUUUUCAUAAUUAAAAAUGUUCACUAUUUUUCAUUUUCGUAAUAUAAAAGACAGAAAAGAUCAGUAUAUAUUUAAUGUAUUGUUGUGUGAGUAAAUGAGAAUGAGUGAGUUUGUAUUUGGGACAUACGAAAAAAUUCAGUAUUAUGUCAUGUUAAACAUUGUGUAACUAUGUCAUGGGAAAGUGUUAAAGCAAGCAAGUUGCAAUGAAAACUGUAAUUUCCUCACCGUGCUGAUGACGUAUGUCGAAGAGUAUAUUUCAUACCUGUUUAUGGAAUAGUUGGCGAGCAAUUUCUUUAUUAGAAAUCCACUGAAAAAGGACCAAAUGUGAAACUUGUAUACAGUCGCAGAGUAAUUACUGUAAAUCGCAUAACAACUCAGGUAGGACAUGAGUACAUUCUUGGCUGCCUUGUGUGUGUAUUGGGUUGUAUGAACUGUGAGCUGAGGACAGUGAUAUUAUUCAUUAAUUAAAUACGGGCUGUUGGCAAGUGUUUAAUUUUGAACCUAAAUAAAUAAAAGCACUUGUUGCAGAAU